AUGGCGAGCGGCUCGUCCCGGCCCCAGAUUCUCUGCGUCUCCUUCAACCAGGACAACAGCAUGUUCUCCGUCGGGACCAAGGAAGGGUUCAAGAUUUUCGAUGCCCGGACCGGGAGGCUCUGCAACGACAACAAACUUGGAGGACUGAAUGUCGUGGAGCUGUGGUUUGCUACGAACCUCAUCGCUAUGGUCGGAACUGGGGAGCAGCCUUCACGGUCUCCUCGUCGCCUUUGCCUCUUCAAUACCAUUACAGGCGCCUCAAAGAAGGAUCUGAACUUCAGGAGUACAAUUUUGGCUGUUCGGUUUAGUAGAACGAGGCUUAUUGUUGUUUUGCAGGACAAGACCUUUAUUUAUGAUCUAAACAGCACUCGUAUCUUGGAGGAAAUUGACACGGUACAUAAUCCUAAAGGCCUUUGUGCAUUUGCUCCUAAUUCAGAAUGGUGUUAUUUAGCCAUCCCAGCGAGCACAUCAAAAGGAUCUGCUUUAGUGUAUAAAGCAUCAGAACCUGAAUUAAUAUGCCAGAUAGACGCCCAUGAGUCUCCAUUAGCUGCAAUGGCAUUUUCUUCCAAUGGCAUGUACCUAGCAACAGCUUCUGAGAAGGGCACAAUGAUUAGGGUAUAUAUCGUGGCACAAGCAACUAAGUCGCAUAGUUUUCGGCGGGGAGCAUAUCCAUCAACAAUUUACUCGCUCUCAUUUGGGCCAUGCAUCGACCGGCCUGAUGUCCUUGCUGCCACAAGUUCAUCAGGCUCUUUGCACAUGUUUUUCCUUGACGCAGCCAGAAACGGAAGGAACCAAACAAAUAAAUUACUCGGUUCGAUAAUUCCUGGAUCGAAAGCAAUUUCUGACGCUUUGGAUCCAGCUAAUCAUCAUGUUAUUCACAACAUUGCCCCUGCAGAAACCAAGAGCUGUCUAGCAGUACAUAGCGUAGAAUAUUCCCAAAAUUCCUCCAAGUUUCCUGCUGUGAGGACUGUAGUCUAUGUUGUAACUCACGAUGGAUACUUCCGCGAGUACACGAUAGGCACCACCAAGUCAAACGAAUCUUCAUGGGUUUUGGAGCGCGAAUUCAGCCUGCUGGAUACCGGUUAUACUCAGAAACAGAAUGAACACCACCAUGUGGACUGA
rnacentral:rRNA from 1 species